rnacentral:rRNA from 1 species
GACAGAGGGGGCAAGCGUUGUCCGGAUUGACUGGGCGUACAGCGCGCGCAGGUGGGUCGGUUAGUCACCUGUGACAUUGUUCGGCUCAACCGAACAGGGUCAGGUGAGACUGCCAGCCUUGAGGGAUGGAGAGGGACGUGGAAUACCCGGUGGAGCGGUGAAAUGCGUAGAGAUCGGGUGGAACACCAGCGGUGAAGACGGCGUCCUGGCCAUUACCUGACACUGAGGCGCGACAGCGUGGGGAGCAAACGGG